AUUGAACGCUGGCGGAAUGCUUUACACAUGCAAGUCGAGCGGCAGCGCGGGGCAACCUGGCGGCGAGCGGCGAACGGGUGAGUAAUGCAUCAGAACGUACCCAGUCGUGGGGGAUAACUGUCCGAAAGGACAGCUAAUACCGCAUACGUCCUGAGGGAGAAAGCGGGGGAUCGCAAGACCUCGCGCGAUUGGAGCGGCCGAUGCCGGAUUAGCUAGUUGGUAGGGUAAAGGCCUACCAAGGCGACGAUCCGUAGCUGGUCUGAGAGGACGACCAGCCACACUGGAACUGAGACACGGUCCAGACUCCUACGGGAGGCAGCAGUGGGGAAUUUUGGACAAUGGGGGCAACCCUGAUCCAGCCAUUCCGCGUGAGUGAAGAA
rnacentral:rRNA from 1 species